GGGUCCGCGGCAGAGCCCCGUCGGCGUGGGGACACGUAGCUGGUGGGAUCGCGCCAUGGCCUGGGCCCCUCUGCUCCUCGUGGUGCUCGCCCACGGCUCAGGUUCCCUGGUCCAGGCAGCACCGACUCAGCCGGCCUCGGUGUCCGUGUCCCCGGGAGAAACCGCCCGCAUCACCUGCUCUGGGAGUGGCAGCUACUAUGGCUGGAUCCAGCAGAAACCUGGUGGUGCCCCGGUCGCUGUGAUAUACAACAACGACAAGAGACCCUCGGGCAUCCCUGCGCGAUUCUCCGCUUCCACGUCCGGCUCCACAAACACGUUAACCAUCACUGGGGUGCAAGCCGAGGACGAGGCCGUGUAUUACUGUGGUGGUAGUUAUACUGAUGCCACGGUGCCCCUGAGCAAUGGGGAAGUGUGACACAAACCUCCCACCAUUGCAGGGAUCAUUGAACAGUCUGGUGUCCCCGUGUGAUGGUUGCACAGGUCCCCACCACAGCCCUCCUGCACUGCCUGUGCCUGGCCUCCUGGUUCAGCCCUCCGUUAGGGCCCCAGGGCUGUGCCUGUCCCCGUCAUUUGGCAGCUCACGGGGAGGGGAUGGACCCCAGGGCGGUGGGGGCUGUGCUGGGCCCUGCCUCCUGCCUGCGCUGCUGGGACGAGGUGCCCCUGCACGGCCAGGCUGGCACCCAGGGCCCUGCCGGGUGCCCUCCCUGCCCUCCUGCCUGCGC